GGAAUCUUCCACAAUGGACGCAAGUCUGAUGGAGCAACGCCGCGUGAGUGAAGAAGGUCUUCGGAUCGUAAAACUCUGUUGUUAGAGAAGAACACGAGUGAGAGUAACUGUUCAUUCGAUGACGGUAUCUAACCAGCAAGUCACGGCUAACUACGCGCCAG
rnacentral:rRNA from 1 species